GACGAACGCUGGCGGCGUGCUUAACACAUGCAAGUCGAACGAAGUGGCGAACGGGUGAGUAACGCGUAAUCAACCUGCUCUUCAGAGGGGGAAAACAGUUGGAAACGACUGCUAAUACAGCAUACUGAAGAAGGGGAUUGUGUCUGAUGAGCUAGUGGGUGGGGUAACGGCCCACCAAGGCGAUGAUCAGUAAGCGGUCUGGGAAGGUGGACGGCCACAAUGGGAAUGGGGCACGGGCCAGGAUCCUACGGGAGGCAGCAGUGGGGAAACUUCCGGAAUGGACGGAAGUCUGACGGAGCAACGGCGGGUGGAUGGAGACAGCCUUCGGGUUGUAAAGCUCUGUUAGUCAGGACGCGGUACCGAAAUAGAAAGCCACGGCUAACGACGUGCCAGCCGCCGCGGUAAUAC
rnacentral:rRNA from 1 species